rnacentral:rRNA from 1 species
UAGUGAUUGUUUGAUCCUGGCUCAGGACGAACGCUGGCGGCGUGCUUAACACAUGCAAGUCGAGCGAUGAAGCUUCUUCGGAAGUGGAUUAGCGGCGGACGGGUGAGUAACACGUGGGUAACCUGCCUUAUAGUGGGGAAUAGCCUUUCGAAAGGAAGAUUAAUACCCCAUAAGAUUGUAGUUUCGCAUGAAACAGCAAUUAAAGGAGCAAUUCGCUAGUUGGUGAGGUAACGGCUCACCAAGGCGACGAUGCGUAGCCGACCUGAGANGGUGAUCGGCCACAUUGGGACUGAGACACGGCCCANACUCCUACGGGAGGCAGCAGUGGGGAAUAUUGCACAAUGGGGAAACCCUGAUGCAGCAACGCCGCGUGAGUGAUGACGGUCUUCGGAUUGUAAAGCUCUGUCUUUANGGACGAUAAUGACNGUACCUAAGGAAGAACCACNGCUAACUACGUGCCACAGCCGCGGUAAUACGUANGUGGCAAGCGUUGUCCGGAUUUACUGGGCGUAAANGGANCGUAGGCGGAUUUUAAGUNGGAUGUGAAAUACCCGGCUCAACCUGGGUGCUGCAUUCCAAACUGGAANUCUANAAUNCAGGAAGGGAAANCGGAAUUCCUAGUGUAGCGGUGAAAUGCGUAGAGAUUAGGAAGAAGAAUACCAGUGGCGAAGGGGGCUUUCUGGACUGUAACUGACACUGAGGCUCGAAAGCGUGGGGAGCAAACAGGAUUAGAUACCCUGGUAGUCCACGCCCAAAACGAUGAAUAUUGGGGGUAGGGGUUGUCAGACCUCUGUGCCGCCGCUAUAAAGNAUAAGUUUUUCGGCUGGGGAGUACGUUNGCAAGAUUAAAAUUCAUUGGAAGCAACGGGAAGAACUUAACUUAGACUGNACNUUUCCUGCAUUAUUCUUAAUNGAGGUUGUUCCUUCGGGAACAGGAAGACAGGUGGUGCAUGGUUGUCGUCAGNUCGUGUCGUGAGAUGAUGGGUUAAGUCCCGCAACGAGCGCAACCCUUAUUGUUAGUUGCUACCAUAAGUUGAGCANUCUAGCGAGACUGCCCGGGUUAACCGGGAGGAAGGUGGGGAUGACGUCAAAUCAUCAUGCCCCUUAUGUCUAGGGCUACACACGUGCUACAAUGGCCGGUACAAAGAGAUGCUAAACCGUGAGGUGGAGCUAAACUAUAAAACCGGUCUCAGUUCGGAUUGUAGGCUGAAACUCGCNUACAUGAAGCUGGAGUUGCUAGUAAUCGCGAAUCAGAAUGUCGCGGUGAAUACGUUCCCGGGCCUUGUACACACCGCCCGUCACACCAUGAGAGUUGGCAAUACCCAAAGUUGGUGAUCUAACCCGCAAGGGAGGAAGCCACCUAAGGUAGGGUCAGCGAUUGGGGUGAAGUCGUCAACAAGGUAGCCGUAAUCGAUUUCCCGCGGCGGCCA